rnacentral:rRNA from 1 species
CCGGCACGGGUGAGUAACCCGUAUCCAACCUGCCGUCUACUCUUGGACAGCCUUCUGAAAGGAAGAUUAAUACAAGAUGGCAUCAUGAGUCCGCAUGUUCACAUGAUUAAAGGUAUUCCGGUAGACGAUGGGGAUGCGUUCCAUUAGAUAGUAGGCGGGGUAACGGCCCACCUAGUCUUCGAUGGAUAGGGGUUCUGAGAGGAAGGUCCCCCACAUUGGAACUGAGACACGGUCCAA